UGUUGGACUAAAUUGAAUAUUGAAUUUAGUUAAAUUUAUUCGUAUAGAUCCGAUUAAACCUCGUAUGGAGUUAGAUCGAGGCAAAGGAAAAAUAUCGAAUUAGUCACCUUCGUAUCUACGUAAACUCGUCGAGUGGUUUGAAAGUUCGUUUGGGUUGGAAGCUUGUCGGAGCUAUAUCACACUAUCUAUCGGAUCUUUUGGUACCUUUGGUUAUCUAAUUUUGGUUAUAAUGGCAUGUAUAGGUUAUUUUAGCUAAAAAUUGCCUACAUGUUUUGUUAUGUUUUUAGCCAUUUGAAUUGGCUUGUGUAUUUUGGUAUAUUUUACUAUGUAUAUAUCAAUGACCUUAUCAUGUUUGAUAUGUGGCUUGGUAUGGUUUACAUGUAAAUUGAUUUUUGUUUGGUGGAUGAAAUUUAAAUGAUAGUUGAAUAUGCAUA